ensembl:lncRNA
UUUCAGACGCACCAUAACCUCCCAGCAGGAAGCCCUGCUGCAGUAUGCCCUGCAUUGGGGGGAAGGAGGUGCCGUGGGCUGUCCUGUGGGACAGAAGUGAGUGCUGGCUGGCCUGGUGUGUCGAGUGAGCAUCCUCCCUGUGAGCCUGUGCGUGUCAAGCUUCUUUUGCAUGUCUGCCAGGUGCAUGAGGGAGAACUCGAGACUGCUGGGAGCGCAUGGUAAUGAACUGCCACUUGUGUGCUGCCUGCGCCUGCUGACAGCGAACAGCAUGGACAAGGAAGGUAGAAUUGUUCCUGUAGCUUUUCUGCAAGGCCUCAGAAGCCCACUUACCCAUCCUCCAUCCUCUGCCCAGACCCCUGCCUGCUGCUCGUCACCUCUGCCUCUCAGCCUGGAAAUGAACCCAUGCUAUUGCUUCUGCAGGAGACAAAGUGCUGACUUAAAACCAGCCGGUUUGAUACGGAUUGCUUUGGGCAGCAGGUGUAAAGCUUUUCAUCUGCUGUGAAACAGAAUCAUUGUCAGUGCAAAACUUUUGAGGAACAGUAAUGAAAGAAAUAGAGGCUGGGAUGUGGUGGGGGUUUAUGGAUAUACAACUGCUGCCGCUGUUGUUUUUCUUCUUGCUGAUGGGAAGGUUUGAGGUGCAGGCCGUCCUUCCCACCUUAUCACCAGAUGCCAAGCCUUCUCUGUCCCUCUCACGUGGCACGGAUGGACUCCACCAACUCAGAGGAGCAUGGCCGGAGCUGCUCCAAUUGACAACUGCUUCAGGUUUUCUGCCAGUCACAUCUGGAUCAAACCCAGGAUUAUCGGGCGUUUCUGUGCACCAGUGUUUGCAUCCUGCUCUGUGCUCCAGUCCCAAAGCCCUGUGAGUCGUCUCUGCAGCCUCUGCUUGUCUGGCAGCUCCUGGGCUGCUUCUUUCCAGCAAGGCCAGAUGGGGGCAGAAUCCUCCUUUUUAUUGCAAAUCCUUUUAAAUAAACUUCCAGUGUGAAGAACUGAGCUAUCUCCAAGGUGCCCAAAUGCUUCGAGCCUGCUCUGCCACCAGAAGAAAUCCCCUUCCUUUCUGUUCCUCACAGCACCACUUGGGUAGCUGAGUACUGAGGAUGGGAGACCUAAACCUGUGAUAAAACUACUUUUAUUUGCAGUCUGUUGAAAUCUGUUUCUCUGUGUUGUUCAGGCUGUUGAAACAGGCUUUCCGGCAUGGGUAAGGGGUAGAAAUAAGUGGUGAGGAUCAGAAGGCAGGAGGUCAAUGCAACAGAGAAGCUGCGGCUGCUGGGAAUCACCUCUACCUGCCUUUAGGAAAGUGGAUCCCACCUUACACCUACAGAGUCAUUUUGGUUAAUUGAGGUAAUUCCUGUGCCCUGACAGGGGCUUGCUGCACUACCCAGGCAUAAAGAGUGUGUCACCACUGGCAGAGCAUUGCGUUCAUCGUCUUGUUUUGGGUGAACAAGAAAAGCUUUGUGUGGAGAGCCAGGGAUGUGCCUGACCCAUCUUCUGCUGUCUAACCCCAACAUGGCUGUUGUUAGCCCAGGUCCAGUGGCACCAGUAGCUGCAGCCAAGGACAGCAGUCCCUUGCAGGUGAGCAAGAGGCAGCUCCAUGCACUCAUUCCCUCUCUUUGAGGCAGGCAAGGAACUUGCUUUGUGCUUGCUGGCUGCACGAGCAACUGCAGCCUCCUUCAGCAGGGAGCUCUGCUCAACACUGAAAAUUAUUGGCUUGACUUCAAUGUCAAUGGUAAAAAAAAUAAAAAUAAAAAAUC